GAAUGAUAACAAGUCUUAAUCAAUUCUUUAGGUGUACACAUUUUGUGUUUUGGGUAGGCAUCAUUUCAUUGUCCAGAGCCAAAGAAUGCAUAGACGACACUUCGCGAAUAAAAUGUUGUUCUGGCUAUAGAAAAAUAAAUGGAACCUGUGCAGAAUGCAUUGGAUUUUACGGAGAAGGCUGUGUCAUUCCUUGCCCAACAGGGUUCUAUGGACCAAGAUGUUUCUCAAAGUGCAACUGUUCUGUACACAAGACUUGUAAUCAGUUUGUUGGCUGCACAUUACUAUCUACGUUCGAGUCAAAGUACAGAAAAUCAGUUCAGAAUGAGAGUUGUUCUUCGUUAUUCCUGUCAGUCAUUGCUCUGACCGCAUCUCAGAUAGUAACGUUGAUUUGCUGUUUGAAAACACUG